AAAUCAAUACUUCUGUGUGUACUGGAUCUUAGAUUGAUUGUGCUCUGGUUCAAGUCAAAAUUAGUAUUAGCGGAUGAAUAGAUGGUGUGUGAAUGCGUCUUUCCUCUAAAACGGAAUAUGACGUAUAUGUGUUUUCUCCAGAUAAUUCUUAGGGAUGUUUCCGAGAACGUUGCCGAUAGCCAAUUGUACAGCUCUAGUGCGAUGUAAAUAAAAGCAUUAUACCGUGCCGUUCAAGACACUAAAGAUACGAAAGACAAGUAUAAAUCGACUCUCUAACUACAACUGCUUCUGUCAUUUUUUAAUGCACUGAUUUUUCGUGUUUUUAUUUUCUACGUCCGAUCUUCAACUUGUUUGAAUUCUAAAACCUGAUUUAUUAUGGAAAUCAAUAUCAAUUUAAGAGAUAACCUAUGGUUCAAUGAGGAAAAGGAAACAAUAACUCAGUCGUAUAUCCCUGCGUUUUUAAUAUAUUCUUUUGGAAUACAUGAAGUUCUAACUCGCAGAGAAGCUUACAGUGCAACAGCUUCUUUUAUUGUCGGUGACAUCUUGUAGAAUAGAUAUGACUUUGGAGCACUUCUAAGAGCUGCACUGGCUUCCGUCUGUGUACUUCUGCAGUACAGUGAAAUCAGGAACUGUAUGGUACUGAAUCGCUUUUUCAUUCUAUUCUUCAUGAUGUACAUCAAUGGAUUCGUAUACUACAUCGGUUUCAUGAGCUGUGGAACAGUAUACUAUUUUGUGUGGGAUUAUAUAAUAAUGCAAAAUAAUAAUAAUGAUUAUGAUAUAAUGGAACUAAUUUUAGAAACGUUUUAAUUAAUGAAGAUUUAUAUCUGUUUUUUGUUCUUUGUCUUUAGAACUAUAUUAGAAUUGCUCAUUCAAUACUGUAUAACUAAAUGUAGGAAUUUUUUCAAAGCCCUUUUUUAAAAAGGAUUUUCAAACCUUUGCACAAAGCUAUUAUUGCUGCAUGACAUUUUUUAAUUAUGUAAGUACACUGUACAUAAGUGUUCCUUAAAUUCAUUUUAUUGA